rnacentral:rRNA from 1 species
ACGGCUCAGUAACACGUGGAUAACCUGCCCUUGGGUCCGGCAUAACCCCGGGAAACUGGGGAUAAUUCCGGAUAACGCAUAUGUGCUGGAAUGCUUUAUGCGUCAAAUGGAUUCGUCUGCCCAAGGAUGGGUCUGCGGCCUAUCAGGUAGUAGUGGGUGUAAUGUACCUACUAGCCGACAACGGGUACGGGUUGUGAGAGCAAGAGCCCGGAGAUGGAUUCUGAGACAUGAAUCCAGGCCCUACGGGGCGCAGCAGGCGCGAAAACUUUACAAUGCGGGAAACCGUGAUAAGGGGACACCGAGUGUCAGCAUCAUAUGCUGGCUGUCCAGGUGUGUAAAAUACACCUGUUAGCAAGGGCCGGGCAAGACCGGUGCCAGCCGCCGCGGUAACACCGGCGGCCCGAGUGGUGAUCGUGAUUAUUGGGUCUAAAGGGUCCGUAGCCGGUUUGGUCAGUCCUCCGGGAAAUCUGAUAGCUCAACUAUUAGGCUAUCGGGGGAUACUGCCAGACUUGGAACCGGGAGAGGUAAGAGGUACUUCAGGGGUAGGAGUGAAAUCUUGUAAUCCCUGUGGGACCACCUGUGGCGAAGGCGUCUUACCAGAACGGGUUCGACGGUGAGGGACGAAAGCUGGGGGCACGAACCGGAUUAGAUACCCGGGUAGUCCCAGCCGUAAACGAUGCUCGCUAGGUGUCAGGCAUGGCGCGACCGUGUCUGGUGCCGCAGGGAAGCCGUGAAGCGAGCCACCUGGGAAGUACGGCCGCAAGGCUGAAACUUAAAGGAAUUGGCGGGGGAGCAC